rnacentral:rRNA from 1 species
GCUCCAAUAGCGUAUAUUAAAGUUGUUGCAGUUAAAAAGCUCGUAGUUGAAUUUCGGGGUUAGUAGGUUGGUCAUGCCUCUGGUAUGUACUGGUCUCACUGAUUCCUCCUUCCUGAUGAACCUUAAUCCCAUUAAUUUGGUGUUUUGGGGAAUUUGGACUGUUACUUUGAAAAAAUUAGAGUGUUUAAAGCAAGCUAACGCUUGAAUACAUUAGCAUGGAAUAAUGAAAUAGGACGUUCGAUCCUAUUUUGUUGGUUUCUAGGAUUGACGUAAUGAUUAAUAGGGAUAGUUGGGGGCAUUAGUAUUCAAUUGUCAGAGGUGAAAUUCUUGGAUUUAUUGAAGACUAACUACUGCGAAAGCAUUUGCCAAGGAUGUUUUCAUUAAUCAAGAACGAAAGUUAGGGGAUCGAAGACGAUCAGAUACCGUCGUAGUCUUAACCAUAAACUAUGCCGACUAGGGAUCGGAUGAUGUUAAU